CCUACGGGUGGCAGCAGUGAGGAAUAUUGGUCAAUGGGCGAGAGCCUGAACCAGCCAAGUCGCGUGAAGGAUGACGGCCCUACGGGUUGUAAACUUCUUUUGUCAGGGAGCAAUUGGGUCCACGCGUGGGCUUAGCGAGAGUACCUGAAGAAAAAGCAUCGGCUAACUCCGUGCCAGCAGCCGCGGUAAUACGGAGGAUGCGAGCGUUAUCCGGAUUUAUUGGGUGUAAAGGGAGCGUAGGCGGCGAUGCAAGUCAGAAGUGAAAGCCCGGGGCUCAACUCCGGGACUGCUUUUGAAACUGUAUGGCUAGAUUGCAGGAGAGGCAAGUGGAAUUCCUAGUGUAGCGGUGAAAUGCGUAGAUAUUAGGAGGAACACCAGUGGCGAAGGCGGCUUGCUGGACUGUAAAUGACGCUGAGGCUCGAAAGCGUGGGGAGCAAACAGGAUUAGAUACCCCUGUAGUC
rnacentral:rRNA from 1 species